rnacentral:lncRNA from 1 species
GUGGCUGUAAAGGGAAGCACAGCAGUGAGAAGGGAGCAGGGAGGGGCUCAGCCUCAAGGGAGAAGGUUGUUGUGUUGUUAAGAUGGAGAGGUUAGAGCUCAUUUGCAUAGAGAAUGAUCCAGAAGAAAGGUACAGUUGUAUGUCAUGAUACAGGAGAGAGAGAAGUGGUUUUCCAGAGUGGCAAGAGGACACGGUCCCAGUGCCCUGGUGAAGUGCUCUCCUCUGCAAGGAGCAGGUCCAGUUCAUCCCUGGGAACAGGAAGGAAGGCAGGGCCAAGGGGCAGAGAUUCAGUUCUGAGAGAAUAAAUCAGUUCUCCUCCAAUUGCUUCUAUUUUCUCACUACAAUCAAUGAGAAGCAAUAUCAUCAGAUGGGAAUGAGAAAGGGAAGGAGUUCUAAGGAGAGAUGAGAACAUUUGAAACAGCCAUCUCAGAGUUUGUGCCUUCGUGCUCACAGUCACCGCAUGACUACAAAAUGGCGACUCUGCCUCCAGCAUUGCAUCAGCAUUCCAGGGAGAAGAAAUGGGACAACAGAUGAUGAAAGCAACCCCCUUGACAAAAUUGCUGAAGCAAUAUGGGACUUUUUAAGAUUACAAGAGCCACGUGGUUAAUAUUACUGGAAUGUUUUCAUGAGUGUGAAAUGCAGUUGUCACAGAGAAGCUUCUACUCAUCAUCUUAAGGCAAACACCAAAGUUCUUCAGAACAACUGAUUCCCCCUACAAGGAGAAAUAUCCAAGGCCUUCAUCCACCAGAACAGUCAAAUCAUUGAAAUUUAUCAGGCCUCGUGCAGUGGCUCACGCCUGUAAUCCCAGCACUUUGGGACACCGAGGUGGGUGGAUCACUUGAGGUCAGGAGUUCAAGACCAGCCUGGCCAACAGGGUGAAACCCCGUCUCUAUUAAAAAUACAAAAAUUAGCUGGAUGUGGUGGCGCAUGCCUGUAGUCCCAGCUACGUGGGAGGCUGAGGCAGGAGAAUCACUUGAACCUGGGAGUCGGAGGUUGCACUGAGCUGAGAUCACGCCACUGCACUCCAUCCUGGGUGACAAGAGUGAAACUGUCUCAAAAAGAAAAAAAGAAGGCCAGGCACGUGGCUCAUCCCUGUAAUCCCAGCACUUUGGGAGGCCAAGGUGGGCGGAUCAUCUGAGGUCAGGAGUUCGAGACCAGCCUGGCCAACAUGGUGAAACCCCAUCUCUACUAAAAAUACAAAAAUUAGCUGGGUGUGGUAGCACAUGCCUGUAAUCCCAGCUACUCGGGAGGCUGAGGUAGAAGAAUCACUUGAACCCAGGAGGCAGAGGCUCCAGUGAGCCGAGAUUACGCCAGUGCACUCCAGCCUAGGAGACAGAGCGAGACUCCAUCUCAUCAAAAAAAAAAAAAAAAAAUUUCUUCCAGUGUCCCAGGACAUUCCCCCAAGUAUCUGGAAUUUCACAAAGAGGGCCAGAUACAAUUCUAUCCAGAAUUCAUUGCUAUACUUGGAAGCUAGAAAGACCCCUCUUUACUAUGGAGAACAGAUGAUAGAACUUAUGCUUCUAAUAAAACAAGAUGCUCUUCAAUCAGCAUGCUCAUGUGUCCAGGGAGCUGACCCCAGUGUGUUGGUAGUAAGGCUUAAUAGCAAGAAGAGAUCAUGGGAAAGUCAAGGACAACCAGAUCUGACAGUAUACCUGGGAAAGGGCUCUAGUUGCUGUCCGUCAGGAUAUUAAUUCAAAUGCCCAAACAGUGAUUGUUCAUCAAAGGGCAUUCUGACCUUCCCUAAUUCCAUUUUUUCAAAAGACAUUUUUAGAGUAAUUUUGGGUUCGCAGAAAAAUUGAUCAGCAAGUACAGAGAGAGCCUGUGUAUCCCCACAUGCCCUCACCAUUUUCCCCUAUUAUUAAUACUUUGCACUUAUGUGGUACAUCUGUUUCCAUUGAUGACACAAUAUCGAUACAUUAUUAUUAACUAAAGUCCAUAGCCUACAUUAGGGUUCCCUCUUUGUGUUGUACAUGCGGUGGGGUUUGAGAAUGUCUAAUAACAUGUAUCCACCAUCACAGUAUCCUGCAGAAUAGUUUCACUACCUCUAAAAAUCCUCUGUGUUCCUCCUUUUUAUAGUUUGGAUUUGUGUCUCCACCCAAAUCUCACGUUGAAAUGUAAUCCCCAGUGUUAGAGAUGGGGACUGGUGGGGGGUGAUUGGAUCAUGGGGUUGGAUUUCUCAUGAAUGGUUUAGCAGUGUUCUCUUGGUACUGUCCUUGAAGUAAUGAAUGAGUUCUCACAAGAACUGGUUAUUUAAAAGUGUGUGGUGGGCUGGGCGCGGUGGCUCACACCUGUAAUCCCAGGACUAUGGGAGGCCGAGGCAGGCGGAUCACGAGGUCAGGAGAUCGAGACCAUCCUGGCUAACACGGUGAAACCCCAUCUCUACUAAAGAUACAAAAAAUUAGCCGGGCGUGGUGGCACAUGCCUGUAGUCCUAGCUACUCGGGAGGCUGAGGCAGGAGAAUUGGUUGAACCUGGGAGGCGGAGGUCGCAGUGAGCUGAGAUCGUGCCACUACACUCCAGCCUGGGUGACAGAGCAAGACUCCAUCUCAAGAAAAAAAAAGUGUGUAGCACCUCCCCCUUCUCUCUCUCUUGCUCCUGCUCCUGCCAUGUGAGACACCUGCUCCCCCUUCAUCUUCCCCCAUGACUGGAAGCUUCCUGAGGUCUCCCCAGAAGCAGAUGCUUGUGUUAUGCUUCCUGUACAGCCUGCUGAGCCAUGACCCAAUUAAACCUCUUUUCUUUAUAAAUUACCCAGUCUCAGGUAUUCCUUUAUAGCAGUGUGAGAAGAGACUAAUACACACUUAUUCAUCCCUCCCUCCUUCUGAACCACUGGUGACCACUGAUCUUUUUACUGUCUCCAUCAUUUUGCCUUUUCCAGAAUGUCUUAUAUUUGGAGUCAUAUAGUAUGUAGCCUUUUCAGAUGGGCU